CCUACGGGCGGCAGCAGUGGGGAAUAUUGGGCAAUGGAGGCAACUCUGACCCAGCAACGCCGCGUGAAUGAUGAAGGUCUUCGGAUUGUAAAGUUCUGUGAUGGGGGAGGAACACAAUGACGGGACCCCAAUAGCAAGCCACGGCUAACUACGGGCCAGCAGCCGCGGUAAUACGUAGGUGGCAAGAGUUAUCCGGAAUGACUGGGCGUAAAGGGUGCGGAGGUGGUUUAGUAAGUUGGCGGUGUAAUUCCGGGGCUCAACCUCGGCGCUCCCGCCAAAACUAUUAGACUAGAGUGCAGGGGGGGUAAGUGGACUUCCUCGUGUAGCGGUGGAAUGCUUAGAUAUUAGG
rnacentral:rRNA from 1 species